rnacentral:rRNA from 1 species
GGCUCAGAUUGAACGCUGGCGGCAGGCCUAACACAUGCAAGUCGAACGGUAACAGGAAGAAGCUUGCUUCUUUGCUGACGAGUGGCGGACGGGUGAGUAAUGUCUGGGAAACUGCCUGAUGGAGGGGGAUAACUACUGGAAACGGUAGCUAAUACCGCAUAACGUCGCAAGACCAAAGAGGGGGACCUUCGGGCCUCUUGCCAUCGGAUGUGCCCAGAUGGGAUUAGCUAGUAGGUGGGGUAACGGCUUACCUAGGCGACGAUCCCUAGCUGGUCUGAGAGGAUGACCAGCCACACUGGAACUGAGACACGGUCCAGACUCCUACGGGAGGCAGCAGUGGGGAAUAUUGCACAAUGGGCGCAAGCCUGAUGCAGCCAUGCCGCGUGUAUGAAGAAGGCCUUCGGGUUGUAAAGUACUUUCAGCGGGGAGGAAGGGAGUAAAGUUAAUACCUUUGCUCAUUGACGUUACCCGCAGAAGAAGCACCGGCUAACUCCGUGCCGGCAGCCGCGGUAAUACGGAGGGUGCAAGCGUUAAUCGGAAUUACUGGGCGUAAAGCGCACGCAGGCGGUUUGUUAAGUCAGAUGUGAAAUCCCCGGGCUCAACCUGGGAACUGCAUCUGAUACUGGCAAGCUUGAGUCUCGUAGAGGGGGGUAGAAUUCCAGGUGUAGCGGUGAAAUGCGUAGAGAUCUGGAGGAAUACCGGUGGCGAAGGCGGCCCCCUGGACGAAGACUGACGCUCAGGUGCGAAAGCAUGGGGAGCAAACAGGAUUAGAUACCCUGGUAGUCCACGCCGUAAACGAUGU